UACGUAGGGUGCGAGCGUUGUCCGGAAUUAUUGGGCGUAAAGGGCGCGUAGGCGGUUCGGCACGUCCGUUGUGAAAUCGCCCGGCUCAACUGGGCGGGGUCGGCGGAUACGGCCGAGCUGGAGCAAGCUAGGGGGUAAUGGAAUUCCCGGUGUAGUGGUGGAAUGCGUAGAUAUCGGGAGGAACACCAGUGGCGAAGGCGGUUACCUGGAGCUUUGCUGACGCUGAUGCGCGAAAGCGUGGGGAGCGAUCCGG
rnacentral:rRNA from 1 species